GCUUACGGCCAUACCAGCCUGUNNACGCCCGAUCUCGUCUUAUCUCGGAAACUAAGCAGGGUCGGGCCUGGUUAGUACUUGGAUGGGAGAUCGCCUGGGAAUACCAGGUGCUGUAAGCUU
rnacentral:rRNA from 1 species